rnacentral:rRNA from 1 species
UACAGAGGGUGCGAGCGUUAAUCGGAAUUACUGGGCGUAAAGCGCACGUAGGUGGCGACGUAAGUCGGGUGUGAAAGCCCCGGGCUCAACCUGGGAAUUGCAUUCGAGACUGCAUUGCUGGAGUACGGAAGAGGAGGGCGGAAUUCCCGGUGUAGCGGUGAAAUGCGUAGAUAUCGGGAGGAACAUCUGUGGCGAAGGCGACUGCCUGGACCAGCACUGACACUGAGGCACGAAAGCGUGGGGAGCAAACAGG